GAUGAACGCUGGCGGUAUGCUUAACACAUGCAAGUCGAACGGACUCUUCGGAGUUAGUGGCGGACGGGUGAGUAACGCGUGAGAAUCUGGCUUUGGGUUCGGGACAGCCACUGGAAACGGUGGCUAAUACCGGAUGUGCCGAGAGGUAAAAGAGAAAUUGCCUGAAGAUGAGCUCGCGUCUGAUUAGCUAGUUGGUGAGGUAAAGGCUCACCAAGGCAGCGAUCAGUAGCUGGUCUGAGAGGAUGACCAGCCACACUGGGACUGAGACACGGCCCAGACUCCUACGGGAGGCAGCAGUGGGGAAUUGUCCGCAAUGGGCGAAAGCCUGACGGAGCAAUACCGCGUGAGGGAAGAAGGCUCUUGGGUUGUAAACCUCUUUUCUUAGGGAAGAACAAAAUGACGGUACCUAAGGAAUCAGCAUCGGCUAACUCCGUG
rnacentral:rRNA from 1 species